GUCAAAGUUUCACAUUUCUAGUCUAGUGUUUCUUGUUGUCCAUCAUCCCUUUGUGAAUGUGGUGUUAGGUCGGAUUUGAAGAUAUCUUUACCAUGCCAAACUUUGUGCAUGGUUCCUUCCCAUGCCUACAGAUGCAUAAACAAAGGGGUCACCUUUAGUCAUUUCCUUCCAGUAAGAGAGAGAUAAACAUCACUGCUGCUGCACAGCAGCCACCACUUUUGGUAUCUAUAUUGUAUUGUUCUCCUACGGUCUCAGGCUCUGAUUAGCUGAGCUGAUUCAAUUGCCUUGCUCCAAGACCUUUAAUAGUUUGCAGUUCGGCUUUUGUGAGAGAAAAGAAUGUUGUCAGUUUGGGUGGGAUCAAAACUUCGUGCAGAGGCAGUCUGGGAAAAUGGGAAAAACUGGGGGAGAAAUGUCCUGAAAGCGGGCAGAGACAAUGAGGCUGAAAGAAAUAAAUAUGCUGAGAACAGAACUGACUGUGAAAGAGGAAUAUUUAAGAGAUUGGCCUGUUUGUCAUAUGUAGAAUGCAGAAAGGCAUCGCUGGCAGAUGAUGGCAUAUAUCACGUUAGAAGAUGAACAAAAGUGUUGAUCAGCUUUAAAAGCUUCAGAGAUUUAGAGCACAUUUAUGGAACUAUCUAACAAGUUAUUAUCCAUAAGUAGAAGGACUGAAACUUCUCCAACUCGGUGUUUGCUAAUCU